GCCUGUGUGGCUCAGUCGGCUAAGCGUCUGACUUCAGCUCAGGUCAUGAUCUCACAGUUCGUGGGUUCGAGCCCCGCAUCGGGCU
rnacentral:tRNA from 1 species